AGAGCUAGACUGAGCCAGUGAAGUGAUAGGAAAUGGAGCUGGGGAGAUGAGGACCAUCAUAACAACAAACGAAUUCCAUCCGUUGAAGAAAUGAGUCAAACAUCAUUGAAACAAAAAAAGAAAAAUGAACCUGGAAUGAGGUACUCAAAAGAGAGUCUAGAUGCAGAGAAAAGAAAGGAUUCUGACAAAACUGGAGCUCGUCUGAGCACUCAGGGAUCCCAAGAAUUACCUCUGCAUAGUACAGACUCUCGAGGUUACAUUGUACGAAAUCAGUGGUCCCGAACAUCACGGAGCCCAUCUACUGGGGCUCCAUCAGUGGAUGAGCCCAGAAGCAGAAAUACUGUCAUCAAGGUAGAGGCCCCUAACAGCUCCACUACCUCUCGAACUUCCUCUGCCACCCCCAGUCAACACGAGACCUCACUUCCACCUCAGACAUCAGAGAAGUCCUCCAUUCAACAGACCCCCCAGAACAAACCUAUCACCCAGCCUGAAUCACAACCUCCUACACCUCCGGAAACAGAGCUCAACUCGAGACGCACAUCGGCGAAGAUGUAUACGGGCAGUGAUCCGUGGGCUCACAGGGAAAACAGAGAGCCUAGAGACUUGCAGUUGAGGGACUAUGCACACAGCUGUGACUCGCGAGAAGGGAUGCCCAAGACUCGAGAGUAUCCGCGCACUCCUCCUACUGAGUGGAAGCCCUAUGUCCAGCGCCGCCUCCAGUAUGGAACCUCUGUGGACGUGGAACCGGACUAUAUGUCUGAUGGCCUGCAGCAGCGGCAGAGGCAGCAGACGGAGGAAGAUGAGGUGGAUGAGGCCUAUUGGACAUCUGUGAGCAUGCUGUAUGAGAAGAUCCCCAGCUGUGCACGGCCCAGGCCGCCCAAACCCAAGCAUGCCAUCACCAUUGCUGUCUCUUCUCGGGCACUAUUCAAUAUGGUAGAUGACAGGAAAAUCUACGAAGAAGAGGGUUUGGAAAAGUACAUGGAGUAUCAGCUCACCAACGAGAAUGUCAUCCUGACCCCAGGGCCGGCAUUUCGCUUUGUCAAGGCACUGCAGCAUGUCAACUCUAGACUCCGUGAUCUGUAUCCUGACGAACAGGACUUAUUCGAUAUAGUACUGAUGACUAAUAACCAUGCCCAAGUGGGAGUACGGCUUAUAAACAGCGUCAAUCACUACGGUCUACUGAUUGACCGCUUCUGUUUGACGGGUGGGAAAAGCCCCAUUGGAUAUUUGAAGGCAUAUCUUACCAACUUGUAUCUUUCUGCCGAUUCUGAAAAAGUACAAGAAGCAAUAAAAGAAGGUAUUGCCUCUGCAACCAUGUAUGCUGGAGCCAAAGACAUGGCUUAUUGCGACACACAGCUACGCGUGGCCUUUGAUGGGGAUGCCGUCCUCUUCUCAGAUGAAUCUGAACAUAUUGCCAAGGAUCAUGGGCUGGACAAAUUUUUCCAACAUGAAACACUAUUUGAAAAUAAGCCUCUUGCUCAGCCACAGAACAUCCAACUAAGCUCUCAACAUUAAAUGGCUUUCCUAGGCCAGAAUACUAAGAUUCUUCCACAAUUCUCCCCAAAACACAGUCAGGGUCCUCUUAAAAGCUUUCUGGAAGAUUUAGGGAAACUGCAGAAGAAAUUCUAUGCCAAAGACGAAAGAUUGCUUUGCCCCAUAAGGACCUACCUGGUUACAGCUCGUAGUGCAGCGAGUUCAGGUGCCCGUGUGCUGAAGACCCUUCGCCGGUGGGGUUUAGAGAUAGAUGAAGCUCUUUUCCUGGCUGGAGCCCCUAAAGGUCCCAUCUUAGUGAAGAUUCGGCCCCACAUCUUCUUCGACGACCAAAUGUUCCACAUUGAAUCAGCACAGAAAUUUGGUACCAUCACGGCCCAUGUGCCUUAUGGCAUUGCUCAAAAACGCAACUAGGGAUGGGGAGGAAAAUAAACAGUCUGGUGUUACAAAUGGC